rnacentral:rRNA from 1 species
GUCGACGGCAGCACAGUGUAGCAAUACAUGGGUGGCGAGUGGCGCACGGGUGCGUAACACGUAUGUAAUUUGCCCAUAACUGGGGGAUAGCCUUCCGAAAGGAAGAUUAAUACCCCAUAACCCAGCGAAGUGGCAUCACUUUUCUGGUAAAACUCCGGUGGUUAUGGAUAAGCAUGCGUCCGAUUAGCUAGUUGGCGAGGUAACGGCUCACCAAGGCAACGAUCGGUAGGGGGUCUGAGAGGAUGAUCCCCCACACGGGUACUGAGACACGGACCCGACUCCUACGGGAGGCAGCAGUAAGGAAUAUUGGACAAUGGAGGCAACUCUGAUCCAGCCAUGCCGCGUGAAGGAUGAAGGCGCUACGCGUUGUAAACUUCUUUUCUCUUGGAAAAAACUCUUGGUUUCGUACCGAGACUGAUUGUACAAGAGGAAUAAGCAUCGGCUAACUUCGUGCCAGCAGCCGCGGUAAUACGAAGGAUGCAAGCGUUAUCCGGAUUCACUGGGUUUAAAGGGUGUGCAGGUGGGGUAGUAAGUCAGUGGUGAAAGCCCCCGACUCAAUCGGGGAACUGCCAUCGAUACUGCUAUUCUUGAGUGUGGUUGAGGCGGAUGGAAUAUGACAUGUAGCGGUGAAAUGCUUAGAUAUGUCAUAGAACACCAAUCGCGAAGGCAGUCCGCCAAACCAUUACUGACACUGAAACACGAAAGUGCGGGGAUCAAACAGGAUUAGAUACCCUGGUAGUCCGCAC